rnacentral:lncRNA from 1 species
GCUUUCCUUGUUUACGAUCGAGAAAAGCGCUUGGCUCUCCCCAAAUGGGCCCAGCCCGCCGCCUGCUCAGGCUGCCGCGCGCUCUCCCGCCGCUCAGGCACGGCCCAGUGGCUGAUGCCCCGCGGAUCCAGCCUGCGGCAGGCCGGAACCCGGAGUCUGUGGGACCUGAAAAGGGCAAAGGGAGUGCGGUGGGACACAAGAGGGGCCCGAGAGGCCCGAAAAAGGGAGCCUUUCUCCUGGAGUAAUGUGGGAAUCGCCGACCGGAGAAUGUCGUGUUCAGUUCCAGCCGGGGGCCGUAUGACUAUGGAUCUAAUUCCUUUUACCAGGAGAAAGACAUGCUCUCAAACUGCAGACAAAACACCUUAGGACAUAACACACAGACCUCAAUCGCUCAGGAUUUUAGUUCUGAGCAGGGCAGGACUGCGCCCCAGGACCAGAAAGCCAGUAUCCAGAUUUACCCCUGGAUGCAGCGAAUGAAUUCGCACAGUGGUGAGUUUUACAGCUCCGAGAUAUAAAUUAAAUAAACUGAACUGGCUUUAUGACCGGCUUCCCUAGAAGAACGGGCGGAGAGAGUUUUUUAUGGCCCCAUAAAAACAAUCAC